GACGAACGCUGGCGGCGUGCCUAAUACAUGCAAGUCGAGCGGACCUCUUCGGAGGUCAGCGGCGGACGGGUGAGUAACACGUGGGCAACCUGCCUGUAAGACUGGGAUAACACCGGGAAACCGGUGCUAAUACCGGAUAAUCCUUUUCCUCACAUGAGGGGAAGCUGAAAGACGGUUUCGGCUGUCACUUACAGAUGGGCCCGCGGCGCAUUAGCUAGUUGGUGGGGUAACGGCCCACCAAGGCGACGAUGCGUAGCCGACCUGAGAGGGUGAUCGGCCACACUGGGACGGAGACACGGCCCAGACUCCUACGGGAGGCAGCAGUAGGGAAUCUUCCGCAAUGGACGAAAGUCUGACGGAGCAACGCCGCGUGAGCGAAGAAGGCCUUCGGGUCGUAAAGCUCUGUUGUCAGGGAAGAACACGUACCGGAGUAACUGCCGGUACCUUGACGGUACCUGACCAGAAAGCCACGGCUAACUACGUGCCAGCAGCCGCCGCCGUAA
rnacentral:rRNA from 1 species